rnacentral:lncRNA from 1 species
CAAAUAGUUCGAGAGCUCAUAGUAAAUGUAUGCAGCAGCACCAUAGGCAGCGUCCUUCAGAAGCAGUGCCGGAGUUAUUUCAUUAACUGCAGAAGGGCAACCACUCAUAGCCUCUUGCAGAAUAGAGACAACAACAGGUCCUAGCAACUGAAGAUCAAAUAAAGGUUCAUACGGGGAUUAAGGCAAUAUGUUAGAUAGAGACAACAACAGGUCUUAGCAACUGAAGAUCAAAUAAAGGUUCAUACGGGGAUUAAGGCAAUAUGUUAAGAUUGUCGAAUAACACAGCGAAUGGGGUAAACUUACCUGACCAUUAUUUUCAAACAAGACAAUAAAU